GGUUUUGUUGAAACAUACAAAGCUAUGACUAAAUUUAGUGGUUCUUGCUGAAGUCAAAUUUUUGAUUAUCUUUGCUAACUCCAUUUUCUCAGCACCAGCUCAGGAGCCCUGUCCCAUCUGCAUGGAAAUGUUUACCGCUGACUUUAUUGAAGUACAUGCUAAGUCUUGCAACAUCAUUGAUGUUGACAAUGAUGAAGACAACCUGGAUAAUAUGGAGGAUAACAGUGAACAAGGUGAGAGACAAUAGUAAAAAAUAAAUGUAGCAUUUUCAAUAGAUUGACAUUCAGUAUGGAUGGCCUAAAAGCACAAUUUUUGAUAAGGGCAAAUGGUUUUGUUGAAACAUACAAAGCUAUGACUAAAUUUAGUGGUUCUUGCUGAAGUCAAAUUUUUGAUUAUCUUUGCUAACUCCAUUUUCUCAGCACCAGCUCAGGAGCCCUGUCCCAUCUGCAUGGAAAUGUUUACCGCUGACUUUAUUGAAGUACAUGCUGCUUUGUGUGGUGAAAGUGAUGGAAUGUAUGAGGUGUUGGAUAGGAGUACUGUUGAAGAGCAAGCAGCAAUGCUUGUACAGUAGUGAAAAAGUUACAGAUGAGUGGCUCACGGUACAAGACCCUACCAAGGUCAUGUCUCUGUUUCGGGAAUCUAUUCUUAGCCAUCAUGAAAGUAAGAAUCCCUUACUUCUCAGCAUAAAUAUUAGAAAGAGCCCUGCUGAACAAGACGCUGCGCUCAUCUGCUUCUAUAAGAAGCCGAAUGUGGAAUGGGCAUGACCCUUGAAUUGCAGACUUGAAGGUAGCUUCAAUUUCAUGUCAAAGUAGUUAAAGCCUACCUUAAGUAUUGCUUUUCCCUUUUACUAUAUCA
rnacentral:lncRNA from 1 species